AGAUCAUUCCAAAGAGGGCUCGUGGGGCUGUGAAACCAUGAGCUCUUAACACUAUGACGAAAGACUAAAGUUCUCUAUAGGAUGCCAUAGCACUCAAGGGUGCUGUUUUCGUAAGGAGAUAUAAGA
ensembl:snoRNA